rnacentral:lncRNA from 1 species
GUGAAUUUCUAUUGCCACUAUGAGGUUUGUGUUGCAAUAGCCAUUGCUUAUUCGGUGUUACCGGUUCGUCUGAAUUUCGAUAAGCAAUGCCUCUUUGUUCAAAAAUCUGAGAAAACAUGUCGCACAAAGUGUCUAAAUUGGUUGUUGUGGCUCACUUGUGAUCUUGAUAUUGUUACAAAUUACAAACAUGUCGCACAAAGUGUCUGAAUUCAUUUUUUUGCAGGUUAUGGUUCAUGGUAAUUUGGUGAGAGAAAUAUUAGUUAAGAAUGUAUCUUAAUAAUUCUGGCUGACUCAUUCCUUUGUCUUGACUAGUCAAAGGUACAAUGGAUUGGAUAUUCUCUGCACGGGUUGAUUUUGAUCGGAAGAAUGGAAUUGAUGGAGAAGUAUCGUUUCUGCUGUGAAGAAAACGAGUCUGUGUCGGGGCCUCGCCUCCAGGUUCAACAGCUGCGGCAGGGAUGGCAUCCAUAACACAUUGCAUUAUCUUAGGUCCCCUAGAGCCCAAAACAUUCAGAUCAGAUUGAGAACAUCGCACGAUGGAUAGCUCGUCUGCAGAAACUCUUGGAGACACUUGC